UACGGGGGGAACAAGCGUUGUUCGGAUUUACUGGGCGUAAAGGGCGCGUAGGCGGCCUUCUAAGUCGAACGUGAAAUCCCUGGGCUCAACCCAGGAACUGCGUCCGAGACUGGGAGGCUAGAAUCCGGGAGAGGGAUGUGGAAUUCCAGGUGUAGCGGUGAAAUGCGUAGAUAUCUGGAGGAACAUCGGUGGCGAAGGCGGCAUCCUGGACCGGUAUUGACGCUGAGGCGCGAAAGCCAGGGGAGCAAACGGG
rnacentral:rRNA from 1 species